rnacentral:rRNA from 1 species
AUGUCUUCUGAAUGCAAGCUUCGUCUCAAUAGGAGAUCCUCCAACUUCAGUGUAUUGAAGUUUGACGGAUUGGAGAAUCAGAUGGUAGUCGCUGGAGAUGCAAGGAACUCCCAUGCUUGCAGCGAUGCACUUGGUGGGCAUUCCUUGCAUUUGUCCUGUAGAAUCACGCGGGAUUGGUAUGAACUCAGAAUACAAAUUUUGGGACAUCUAUUAACAUUGAAAGAGAAUGAAUGUGAAGACAAUAUGUGUGCUGGUGUCCUGGGAUUCAUCAGUUGUAUCAGGAAAACCAAAGUAAAACAGGACAUCAUUGUUCUCCAAUAUGAAACUAUAGAGAAGGGACCUGACGUACAUUUGUGUAACACAGUUCAGUAA